GCGCGCGCGGGAGGGCCCCGCCUUGGCCGGCUCUCUCCCUUCCCCCUCCGCCCCCGGACGGCCGCUGGGGCGCGCGCCUCUCCUCGCACCCCCACCCUGAGUCCCCACACUCCGCGGGGCCACCGAGCUGCUGAGGCCCCUUUGCGGGCCCGCCGAGCGGUUCCGGGUUUAGGGUUCACAGGUCAGAGUUGACUCCCUGAAAAGUGCAGCCGGUUUGAAAUGCAAGAUGGCGGCGGCGUGGCGCUGAGAGGCGCGGCGGCCCCUGCAGGUAGUGGCGCGAGCCGGCUCCGCGACCAGCGGGCCCGGAGACUCUGGGCUGCGGGUGGGAACUGGAGCGCAGAGUCCGCGGCCGGCACGGGAAAGGAGAAGACAGACUGCUGCUUUGGAACUAUUGGUAAUGAUGGCCUGAGCUAAACAUCUAACUAGAAGGGAUACCCUUCCAUUUCAAAGAACAGAAUGCUAAGGAAGCUGUGGCAAGUGAUUGGAGUUGUGCUUCAAAAAUUUCAGAAAUUCAGCAGUAUUUUAUCUGCCAACAAUAAGCUCUUUACUUGAUUGCACCAUGAGAAAGCUGCUAAUGAGACUUGUUGAGCACAAAAAUGGACUUGAAGAACCAAAAGCCAUUGUUUUCAAAUGAAGAACACUGAACAGUUUUAAGCCUCGAUGCUUUUUAAUCACCACUGAGCUUUUCCUCAUAACAUCAGAAUGGCAAGCAGGCGAAAAUCAACAACACCUUGCAUGGUCCUUGCCAGUGAACAAGAUCCAGACCUUGAGUUGAUAUCAGAUUUGGAUGAAGGUCCUCCUGUGCUUACACCUGUAGAAAACACCAGAGCAGAGAGUAUCUCAAGUGAUGAAGAGGUUCAUGAAUCUGUGGAUUCAGACAAUCAGCAAAAUAAAAAAGUUGAAGGUGGAUAUGAAUGUAAAUAUUGUACUUUUCAAACUCCAGAUCUAAAUAUGUUUACUUUUCAUGUGGAUUCGGAACAUCCCAAUGUAGUGCUAAAUUCAUCCUAUGUUUGUGUCGAAUGCAAUUUUCUUACCAAAAGGUAUGAUGCACUUUCUGAGCAUAAUCUGAAAUAUCACCCAGGAGAAGAGAAUUUUAAGUUGACUAUGGUGAAAC
rnacentral:sRNA from 1 species